GCGGCCGUGUCGUAAUUUGGCAGCCGAGCUGCGUUUAGAUCGCAGUGGGCGAAAGCCCGUGUGGGUUCGAGUCCCACCGGCCGCA
rnacentral:tRNA from 1 species